UCAAAGACAAGCUUCAGUGAAGACUGAUCUAGAACUGGUGCAAUUUUGGUGAUAUGUGGGCACUUGACUGAAUGUAUUGCUUUUGAAAUUUAUCCAAACAUCGUGUCAUUGUGCCACUACCUGGUUCCUCAUAGAAUGUAUGUCUGUUUGGGUUGUGCAAAUUGCUAGUAGUGGAAGAGCUGUCUUCCGGUUGAACAAUGCCAACAUUGCAUAGUUUUAUGUUUUUAGGGCUUUCUCAGUUUCAUAUGACCUGGAGUUGUCUGAUGUCUCUAAAUAUGUUGAUCGCAUGAGUUAAUAAAUUUUACGGAUUAUACCUAACAUAUGUGCAGCUUAAAUGAAGUAAUAUAGAAUUCGAUUCCCCUGCUUGAGAGGUGGUAUACUAAUCAAACGAGGGUUCAAGGCAUCAAUUUUUAUCAUGAUUAUUUUUCUAACUAUGAGGUAAUUAGUAGCGUAGCUGUACCAGAACUGGCCCGUAAUGUUUCUACUUUCUGCACAAGUGACAAUAAGGUUUCUCUUGAAAAGCUAGUACAUAAGGCAAUCAUAUAUUGGAUUUCGGACAUAAGCAGUGAAUACAGCUGGGAAUAUAGAGGUGGAACUGACUUGACACUAUUUCUUUAGCUGAGGUAGGAACUAUGAAGCAUGCAACUUGGACAAGAAACAAAAACUUAGUGACGUCUGGUUGCAUGUUCUAAAGAUGCUCAGUUUCAGCUCUUUGGUGGCCUUGGUUUUAGUGACGUGGCUAUCUCUGAGGUCUCACCUUCGGUGCCCAUCCCUCCAACGUCUCCAUCUGUGGUGAAACCCCCAGAACCUAGUGUGCCAUGACUGUAGACGAGGGUAUCAUGGCCGAGAAGCUUGCAGGACUCAGCAGCCCUCUACAAGAUUUGGGGUAAGCAAAGAAUAAAUAUUGCCUCCUAUCUUGUCUACAGAUUUGGUUUAGCCAGAUCACUUCAUCUCAAGAAAACAAUAGUAGUAGCAAGAUCAACUGUACACCAUGCAAUUAAGAUGCAAGUAGCAGAUUGAAUUCUGAAACACCUAAACAAAUGGUGAUGAUAACCAUCUUAAUUUGUAGCUUUACACCAAAGAGUGUUUUCUACCUAAUGA